UACGUAGGGUGCGAGCGUUUGUCCGGAAUUACUGGGCGUAAAGAGCUCGUAGGUGGUUUGUCGCGUUGUCCGUGAAAACUCACAACUCAAUUGUGGGCGUGCGGGCGAUACGGGCAGACUGGAGUACUGCAGGGGAGACUGGAAUUCCUGGUGUAGCGGUGGAAUGCGCAGAUAUCAGGAAGAACACCCGUGGCGAAGGCGGCUCUCUGGGACGGUACUGACGCUGAGACGCGAAAGCGUGGGGAGGCGAACAGG
rnacentral:rRNA from 1 species